UGGGGAAUCUUCCACAAUGGGCGAAAGCCUGAUGGAGCAACGCCGCGUGAGUGAUGAAGGCCUUCGGGUUGUAAAGCUCUGUUAUUCGGGACGAAAGAGCGCAUGGCUAAUAUCCAUGCGAAGUGACGGUACCGAAAGAGAAAGCCACGGCUAACUACGUGCCAGCAGCCGCGGUAAUACGUAGGUGGCAAGCGUUGUCCGGAAUUAUUGGGCGUAAAGCGCGCGCAGGCGGCCUUUUAAGUCCAUCUUAAAAGCGUGGGGCUCAACCCCAUGAGGGGAUGGAAACUGGGAGGCUGGAGUAUCGGAGAGGAAAGCGGAAUUCCUAGUGUAGCGGUGAAAUGCGUAGAGAUUAGGAAGAACACCAGUGGCGAAGGCGGCUUUCUGGACGACAACUGACGCUGAGGCGCGAAAGCGUGGGGAGCAAACAGGAUUAGAUACCCUGGUAGUCCACGCCGUAAACGAUGGAUACUAGGUGUAGGAGGUAUCGACCCCG
rnacentral:rRNA from 1 species